rnacentral:misc_RNA from 1 species
UUUUUUUUUUUUUUUUUUUUUGUAGGCAAUUAAGAUUCAAUCCUUCUGAUAAAGAAAAAUAAAGAAAAAACAGAGAAUUAUGAGAAAUAGAACAAAACCAAACUGUAUGAAUCCCUCAAAAUUGAAAAAUUAUGAGUAACUACACAUAAAACAAAGGUCAAUAUCAUCCAUUUCCUCUCCACUCGCCACUCUCCACCAGUCCAUCAAUUUCCCAUAAAAAAUAUAUAUAUAUAUUCAAAGAUAAUAUUUACAUGAACAGAAGGAACCUAAGAAAA